rnacentral:rRNA from 1 species
AUUGAACGCUGGCGGCAUGCUUUACACAUGCAAGUCGAACGGUAACAGGUAGCUUGCUCCGCUGACGAGUGGCGAACGGGUGAGUAAUGCAUCGGAACGUACCCAGUCGUGGGGGAUAACGUAGCGAAAGUUACGCUAAUACCGCAUACGUCCUGAGGGAGAAAGCGGGGGACCGUAAGGCCUCGCGCGAUUGGAGCGGCCGAUGUCGGAUUAGCUAGUUGGUAGGGUAAAGGCCUACCAAGGCGACGAUCCGUAGCGGGUCUGAGAGGAUGAUCCGCCACACUGGGACUGAGACACGGCCCAGACUCCUACGGGAGGCAGCAGUGGGGAAUUUUGGACAAUGGGCGAAAGCCUGAUCCAGCCAUGCCGCGUGAGUGAAGAAGGCCU